UAAUAUUUGGUGUUUGCUUUGGCACCAAAUUGGAAUGAUACAGAGAAGAUUAGCAAGGCCCCUGUGCAAGGAUGACACGAAGAUUCAUGAAGCAUUCCAUACAUGU
rfam:Cavia porcellus supercont2_37 genomic scaffold, whole genome shotgun sequence.